rnacentral:rRNA from 1 species
GACGAACGCUGGCGGUGUGCUUCACACAUGCAAGUCGAACGAGGUAGCAAUACCUAGUGGCGGACGGGUGAGUAACGCGUGGGAAUCUGCCCAUAGGUGGGGGAUAACUAGCCGAAAGGUUAGCUAAUACCGCAUAUGCCGAGAGGUAAAAGGAGUAAUCCGCCUUUGGAUGAGCCCGCGUCCGAUUAGCUAGUUGGUAGGGUAAAAGCCUACCAAGGCUACGAUCGGUAGCUGGUCUGAGAGGAUGAUCAGCCACAAUGGGACUGAGACACGGCCCAUACUCCUACGGGAGGCAGCAGUGGGGAAUUUUACGCAAUGGGGGGAAACCCUGACGUAGCGACACCGCGUGAACGAAGAAGCCCUUUGGGUGUAAAGUUCUGUCGGCUGGAACGAAAAAAAUGACGGUACCAGCAAAGGAAGCAUCGGCUAACUACGUGCCAGCAG